rnacentral:lncRNA from 1 species
AGGCGUUCCAAAUAUCCGCUUGGAAAUACUACAAAAACAGUGUUUCAAAACUGCUCUAUCAAAAGGAAGGAUCCACACUGUGAGUUGAAUUCACACAUCACAAAGAAGUCUCUGAGAAUUCUUCUGUCUGGGUUUAUAGGAAGAAAUCCCGUUUCCAACGAAGGCCUCAAAGAGGUCCAAAUAUCCACUUGCAGAUUCUACAGAAACAAUGUUUCCAAACUGCUCUAUCAAGAGGAAUGUUGCACUCGGUGAGUUGAAUGCACACAUCACAAAGGAGUUUCUGAGAUUGCUUCUGUCUAGCUUUU